UGUUCACAGAAAUGGGACUUUUCAUCCCACUUCUGCAAUUCUUUCACCACGCAAUAUUUCAGAGUGUAGAAAAUGAUACUCAGAAAUUCCUCCUAUGCUGUUUGCAUCAGAUGCAAUUUUGAGCUUCAAUAGAUUUGAUUGGGAAGGAAGAUGUGCAUUUAUGGCUUCCUCAUAUUCCAAGCCAGCCUCUCACAGUCUCCAAGCAGCCACUCAAGACUUCGAUAACAUCUUCAACUUAGCCAAGAAUAAUGAAAAUUUGAAAGCGUUGCCCCAGAAGCACCCAAGGCAGGAAAGGGAGAAGCAAGUCUGAAAGAGGUACCGGUCGGUGGAUGUUCUCAGAAGUAAGCAUAAGUGAUGGGUAUUAAGAACGAGUCAAUAUAUGUUUUAAAAUGACAUUUGCAACUGAACCCUACCCUGCCAAUAAAAUUGACUUCUUUAUUUAGCGAGUACAGAUCUGGUAGUUGAAAGGCUUUGAUUUCAAGUGGAGAAAGCAAGGAGAAUGACAUUGAAAGAUCACCAGCCACGGGCUUUUUAAAAUCCUGCUUGUUCUCAUACUGUAUUGUUGCUCCCCUGAUAAUGAUAAGUAUUUGGAACUUGUCAAGCCGUAACAAAUGUACAACUUGUGAAUGUUAUCCUGGCACAGAGAAUGCUUGAUUAAAUUAGUUAAUACAUCACAGUCCCAAAA